rnacentral:misc_RNA from 1 species
GAUGAAGAACGCAGCGAAAUGCGAUAAGUAGUGUGAAUUGCAGAAUUCAGCGAAUCAUCGAAUCUUUGAACGCACAUUGCGCCCUUCGGUUAUUCCUUAGGGCAUGCCUGUUCGAGCGUCAUUUCAACCUUCAAGCCUGGCUUGGUGUUGGGCGCUGUCCCGCCUCCGCGCGCGGACUCGCCCCAAAUGAAUUGGCAGUCGCACCCUCCGAGCCGCGAGCGCAGCACAAGUCGCGCGGGCGGAACCCCGGGGGGACGGACGCUCCACAAGACCCUUUCUCAGUCUUGACCUCGGAUCAGGUAGGGAUACCCGCUGAACUUAAGCAUAUCAAUAAGCGGAGGA